rnacentral:ncRNA from 1 species
AAGCAAUGAAAUGCCGUGCCUGUCAAGAGGUGACUGCAUGGAGCUUCUCACAGGGGGUUGCACAGAUUCCACAACUUGACUGAGGCAGCAUCCUGCUGUUGAAAGAAAAUGUGCUGC